GCAGCGUUUCUUACUCUUUUCACCCCUUAGUCUUCUCCGCCGUAGGCAAUGCUAGGGUUUCAGUCUAAUACGGCGCCGAUCGAUUGCUUUUACAGUUUCGAACGAUUCAUACUUCUUCUUCCUCCUGGUCCAGAAAUCAUUCGGUCACGGAUUCAUUGCUAUUAAAUUCUUUCUUAACUCCAUCGUCACGAUCUAUCUUCAAUGACACAUCUGCUCUUCGAAGGCGGUGGAGGUUCGACUAUAAAAAGUCCGGUAGAUGUUCUUCCACAGCUGAGGUUAGGUUAUUGUGUUUCUGGGAGGCUAGGAAUAUCAGGCGCGGUGAUGAACUGAUGUCUGCUCCUGCUUGAUUCAAAUGCGGCUCUUAUGCCAGCCACCGUUGCACCUAGCCGGGUUCCAACCUUUGGUUU